rnacentral:lncRNA from 1 species
UCCCCCCGCCUCGGCUAAUGAUUCUGUUUAUUCCGAUAUUGUAAUUGAAUUAGUUGACAGAGGUAAGGCUUAACCGAGUAUACGAGUGGGCACUAAAAGACUCAGUGUGCGGGAAGGGAAGUUGGCAAUUCCAUUAUUACUUGGAUCAAAUGAAGGAGCGAGCAGUGCGAGUAAAGUCUAGAGGGAAUAGAAUCAGUUUGCCCA